rnacentral:lncRNA from 1 species
GGAAAGCUUUUGAGAGUAAAGGGCGCGAGUCUGCCAGUUUUGUAGCAUCUCUCUCCAUCAGAGAAUCAAGGGUCCUGUAUGGUAUAGUAGCUGAGAUUAUGAUUAUUUGUCAACGAAUUUGGAAUUAAUUUAAAAUAUCUUUUUUGGUAUAUACAAAUAUAGGUUGUCCUUGUAUGUAUUUAGUUGUACCUACUACAUCAUGCAAGGCGGCUUGUUCAUUUGUAUCAAAAUUGUUAUGUAAUAAUGCCCUACAAAACAUGAGUUAGUGAACUACUACUACGGUAGAUCUAGCAAUGAAAUUGUCGAGGCUUAACUUAAAAAGAAGUCUAUCUUAUUGGGAGGGCAGGGUAAAUUUUUGUUGUAUUAUAGGGGACACAAUUCAAUUGCAUUGUAUUUUGACCUAUUUCUCUUUCCCCAGAGCUUCAAUUGAUUAUUUAUUAUUGUGUUGAAGAAGAAUAUAUUUCUUGCUUUGUUCAAUUGCUGUGUUAGUUCCUUUGGUCAAUAUGUGAAGUCCUAAAAUUCAUAAUCGACAUUACUUUGAAACAUAACACAAUAGUAUGGGACAAAAACAGAACUAUCCAAUAACACAAUAGUAUGGGACAAAAGACAGGGACAUCGAACAUAGAAAAGAAAGUCAUUACAAAUGCUACGCAGAAUGCUUUUGUUAUUGCUUACCUGAAACCACAAAUACAAAAUGAGAAAAUCAUCACCUUUCAUAUAAAAAAGAUAGCUUACCAUGAGCUGAACCAAAUAGCUGGAAAAUAUUUUCCUUACAUUCAUUGGUACAACACAAUUGACUGAGCUUGAACGACGACCCAAAGAAAACGUGAGCUGAACCAAGUAGGAAACCAAUUCACUCAGAUAUAUACAAAUAUCCGUGCUCACUCCCCUUUAGCGACGGACCCGGCGACAGUUUCGGUCAUACAAUCGUCGUCUAUACUUUUAGCGACGGACAACAUAUAGCGUCGUUAAAAGUAUAGACGACGGUUGUAUAACCGAACCGUUGUCGGGUCCGUUACUAAAGAGGGGUGAGUACGGAUGAGUAAGAUAAGAGGUAUGCACUUGAUCCGGACCGUAUAUAUAUACUCCAUAUAUAUAUAUUGAAUAUUUUAGAUAACGUACUAAAUUAGUCGAUCCUAAGAAUAUUAUUAAGUUUUUGGUAAAUUUGGGAUGGAUUUGAAUAUCCGGAAGCUAG